rnacentral:rRNA from 1 species
AACGAACGCUGGCGGCAGGCUUAACACAUGCAAGUCGAACGCCCCGCAAGGGGAGUGGCAGACGGGUGAGUAACGCGUGGGAAUCUACCUAGUUCUACGGAACAACAGAGGGAAACUUCUGCUAAUACCGUAUACGCCCUAAGGGGGAAAGAUUUAUCGGAAUUAGAUGAGCCCGCGUAAGAUUAGCUAGUUGGUGGGGUAAUGGCCUACCAAGGCGACGAUCUUUAGCUGGUCUGAGAGGAUGAUCAGCCACACUGGGACUGAGACACGGCCCAGACUCCUACGGGAGGCAGCAGUGGGGAAUAUUGGACAAUGGGCGCAAGCCUGAUCCAGCCAUGCCGCGUGAGUGAUGAAGGCCUUAGGGUUGUAAAGCUCUUUCAGUGGGGACGAUAAUGACGGUACCCACAGAAGAAGCCCCGGCUAACUUCGUGCCAGCAGCCGCAGUAAGAC